UCACUCAUAAAGAGAUUUAUUACUGUUCUAUAUAACAAUAAACAAUGAUCAUUAACAAUCAGUUCAAUAUAUAAAUCAUGAUAAAAAAUUGAUUUGUGACUCUGUAAAGUUUGAAUUAUCUGAUAAUAGUAGUUACAUAGAUAAAAAAAACUUUAAAAAAAACACCAUUUUAGAGAUUAAAAAAAAAUAUGGUUCUCUGAAACUUUAGUGUCACAUGAAAUUAUUUCAUAAAAACAAAUAUCACUCUGUAGGGUGUCAAUUUUUACUCAUUUUUAGACCCCCCAGUUCAUGACAUUCUUCUUUGAACAAUCAAGAAAUAAUAAGAGAUUUAUAUAAACAAAAUGGAAUGUCUUUGGACAUAACUCAGCAUAAGCUGCAUUAAUGUCAUUAUUAAAAUUAUAUUAUAAUCCAAAGAAAGCACUGCCUUUAUCACAGAAUAUCAAAUAAAAAUGCACUAAAAAAAUUAUAAUAAAAAAUAGUUUCAUGAAACAUUAUCAAUGAUUCAUUCUUUAAAAAAGGGGGCAUAAUGCAUGUUACAUCAAAACCAGUAGAUAGUAGUUCGUUUUGCAUAUUUUGCAUUGUAAUUUAGAUUUUUUUUUAUAUCUGAGGUAAUGGGUGAAUGAAAAUUUACAACCUUAAAAACAUGUUUCAAUCUUUUUUCAUCAAAGAAAUCUAACUUAUACAAGGUAAAUGUAGGUAUAUAUUAAUAUGUAAAAAUUAUAUAACCAUGAUUUUUUUUUAAAUUGAGGACAUAAUAAUCUUACACUUAGCAGUACAUAUAUUUCCAAUUUAAUU
rnacentral:lncRNA from 1 species